UACGGGGGGGGCAAGCGUUGUUCGGAAUUACUGGGCGUAAAGGGCUCGUAGGCGGCCAACUAAGUCGGACGUGAAAUCCCUCGGCUUAACCGGGGAACUGCGUCCGAUACUGGAUGGCUCGAGUGUGGGAGAGGGAUGCGGAAUUCCAGGUGUAGCGGUGAAAUUCGUAGAUAUCUGGAGGAACACCGGUGGCGAAGGCGGCAUCCUGGACCGGCAUUGACGCUGAGGCGCGAAAGCCAGGGGAGCAAACGGG
rnacentral:rRNA from 1 species